AAGUAUAACCAUAGAGGGUGAUAGUCCCGUAUGCGAAAAACAAACCUUAGCUAGCAGUAUCCUGAGUAGGGCGGGACACGAGGAAUCCUGUCUGAAUCCGGGUCGACCACGAUCCAACCCUAAAUACUAAUACCAGAUCGAUAGUGCACAAGUACCGUGAGGGAAAGGUGAAAAGAACUGAGGUGAUCAGAGUGAAAUAGAACCUGAAACCAUUUGCUUACAAUCAUUCAGAGCCUUAUGUAGCAAUACAGGGUGAUGGACUGCCUUUUGCAUAAUGAGCCUGCGAGUUGUGGUGUCUGGCAAGGUUAAGCAAACGCGAAGCCGUAGCGAAAGCGAGUCUGAAUAGGGCGCUUAGUCAGAUGCUGCAGACCCGAAACGAAGUGAUCUAUCCAUGAGCAAGUUGAAGCUAGUGUAAGAACUAGUGGAGGACUGAACCCAUAGGCGUUGAAAAGCCCCGGGAUGACUUGUGGAUAGGGGUGAAAGGCCAAUCAAACUUCGUGAUAGCUGGUUCUCUCCGAAAUAUAUUUAGGUAUAGCGUUGUGUCGUAAUAUAAGGGGGUAGAGCACUGAAUGGGCUAGGGCAUACACCAAUGUACCAAACCCUAUCAAACUCCGAAUACCUUAUAUGUAAUCACAGCAGUCAGGCGGCGAGUGAUAAAAUCCGUCGUCAAGAGGGAAACAACCCAGACUACCAGCUAAGGUCCCUAAAUCUUACUUAAGUGGAAAACGAUGUGAAGUUACUUAAACAACCAGGAGGUUGGCUUAGAAGCAGCCAUCCUUUAAAGAAAGCGUAAUAGCUCACUGGUCUAGUGAUUUUGCGCGGAAAAUAUAACGGGGCUAAAGU
rnacentral:rRNA from 1 species